rnacentral:rRNA from 1 species
UACGGAGGAGACUAGCGUUGUUCGGAAUUACUGGGCGGAAAGCGCACGUAGGCUGACUGAUAAGUUAGGAGUGAAAUCACGGGGCUCAACCCCGGAACUGCCUUUGAUACUGUCAGUCUCGAGUUCGAGAGAGGUGAGUGGAAGUCCGAGUGUAGAGGUGAAAUUCGUAGAUAUUCGGAUGAACACCAGUCGCGAAGGCGGCUCACUGGAUCGAUACUGACGCUGAGGUGCGAAAGCGUGGGGAGCAAACAGG